UUUUAUUCAGUUUUUUCUUUUUAGUAUUAUUAUUAUUAUUAUUAUUAUUUUAUGUUAUAUGUGGCUUCUUAAUUUCUCGCUACAGACAAACAGGAAAUGGAUAGCUUCUUUGCAUUUCCUAUUUUUUUCAACCAUGCAAUGUUAAUAUACACGUCCUAAAUUAGCAAAUUCUUCUAUUUGGGCAUAAGGAUAUCUUAAUCUAUUACUCUAUUCAUUGGUUUUCUUCAUUGAGUUUUAUUAAGUAUCUUACUUAUUCAGUUCUUGCAUCCUCAUCGGAGGGCCUAACAAUGGACGAAAGAAUAUCUCCGAGUUCUGUAAUUUUGUUGCAUUCAUUCCUGGUGACCAUGUCAGGGACCUCAAAGCUAGAGAUAUAACAUAAGAUUUUCUUGCAAGGCUCCAAGUUUCCUGCUACUGGUGUGUGCCCCACAAGUUAUGAGGAAGUCUUUGGUUCUGGUGUUUGGGCUGAAAGAAACACAAAAAUAAGAUCGCAGUUGGAAGGAUGAUGGGAAUGAAACAUAAGCGCUUUGAAUGUUGUAUGUUGUACCAACCAAUUGUACUAUGGACUACCUGUUAUACUAUGGACAAUCAAGAAGGAAAGAAAUGCUCUUCUAUGGUACAAUGGUACCCACGAAUGAACAAGAAAGGACAUCUCAAAACUCUUACAUGUCAACAUGCAGUCUGUUUGAAGUUUGGCUAUGUGUUAUAGUUUGCAAAUGACUGGUAAUGUCUCAUACAAGAAUCUUAUACCAGUUCCUAAAAUUUAAAUAUUGUGUGCACUGAGAACACAGUAUGGAGAAAGAGUUUCUUUAACUUCACCAGAAGCUUAAAUAACAACACAUCUAUGUAUUACUUUUCACUUUGGAUAUCUAUGUGUUUGUUUUGUGAAAGAGUACAGAUUUUGGAGCACAUACAAGGAAAUUAUGGCACUUCACUUUUCAGAAGAGAGUGUCAAAGAGCUGAAGUUUCAUAUUAAAUAGUCUGAUUUAAAGAAACCAAUGCCUUUGCACCUUUGCACAGGGAAAUCUCCCAAUUCCAUAAAUAAGUGUGUAUCCUGGAGAUGUGGGGAUUGCAUUAGCUUGAUGGCCAAAUCUUGAAAGAUCAAGUGUUCAUUUUGAGAUGGGGAACAGUCUUCAUUUAACAAACGACUUUUUGCACCGGGUGGUUUGGUGCAAAACACUUUGAGAUUGUUUGUCAGUUGUGCCUUGCUAAUGUGCAAUUUGCACUUCUUUUUUUCUAGAAGUGUUACUUUAGUUUGCCAGUUUUUCUAGAGUAAUAACAGUUAUUAACUGAAAGAGCAAUGACAACUUUAAAGUUAUGUUCUAUUAUGCUAUAUACCGUAGGUAAGACAAGGCUAACUUGGAGUCAAGUAGACAUUUCAUAUUGCCUUCGUAUUUAUAUUGCACUGUAGAGUUUAUCAGGCCCGUGCAAUCUAGUGAAUACAAUAAGUGGAAGUUUGGUGGUGCGACAAAGGGCAAUUCCCUAAUUAUGAAAUUCUUUAUGGGUUAUUUAGUAAUUCUGCAUCAUUCCUCAAGGACAUGUGUAGUGCAACCGUACAUAACACGCGUUCGCCUCAAACAUCAAGCCGAAGCCCUGUUCUGCUCCUUAGACUUCUUUAUAUCUUUCAAUUUUACUCAAAUUCUUCCGAUGUCCCCUUUCUCUAAGUUUGUGUUCAUUGACUUGGUGAGUGAUCUGCAAUCUUUCUUUCUUUAUUGUUUGCACUACCUAUUGGUAAAAUUAGGAUUUGGUGUUUACUCUUUCAAUCCAUCUUUGCUCUAUUUGAAUUUGGUGUGAACUCUCUGAUUUGAUGAGCUAUUUGUGCAGGUUUUCUUUGUUUGUUGCACUUGUGCCGCAUUUUGGUGAGUUCUUUUUCCUACUACUCUUUUUCUGCUCAAUUUUGUUUUCAAUAAUUUUAUUUAUCUACAUAGUUCCUCUUUUUUGCUGGUUUUCUUUUUGAAUCUCUCUUUUGACUUUAAAGUUUCCUCAGUACUAAGCAAUGAAAAUUAGACAUCCAGAGUUGCCAUACAGUUUCUUUGUGAGAAGCUCGUGUGGAAGUUGAGAGGUAACUUGGAAACUGGCUAUUUUUGUUAUUGAAUGUGAAAAUAGAUGC